GAUUAGGUAGGAAUACCCGCUGAACUUAAGCAUAUCAAUAAGCGGAGGAAAAGAAACCAACAGGGAUUGCCCUAGUAACGGCGAGUGAAGCGGCAACAGCUCAAAUUUGAAAUCUGGCCCUAGCGGUCCGAGUUGUAAUUUGUAGAGGAUGCUUUUGGUUAGGUGCCUUCUGAGUUCCCUGGAACGGGACGCCAGAGAGGGUGAGAGCCCCGUACGGUUGGACACCGAGCCUCUAUAUAGCUCCUUCGACGAGUCGAGUAGUUUGGGAAUGCUGCUCUAAAUGGGAGGUAAAUUUCUUCUAAAGCUAAAUACCGGCCAGAGACCGAUAGCGCACAAGUAGAGUGAUCGAAAGAUGAAAAGUACUUUGAAAAGAGGGUUAAAUAGCACGUGAAAUUGUUGAAAGGGAAGCGUUUGCGACCAGACUUUUUCCAGGCGGAUCAUCCUGUGUUCUCACCGGUGCACUUCGCCUGGUUUAGGCCAGCAUCGGUUCUCUUAGGGGGAUAAAGGCCUGGGGAACGUAGCUCCUUCGGGAGUGUUAUAGCCCCUAGCGUAAUACCCUUCGGGGGACCGAGGAACGC
rnacentral:rRNA from 1 species